rnacentral:rRNA from 1 species
AGGCGUGAUGACGAGGCACUACGGUGCUGAAGCAACAAAUGCCCUGCUUCCAGGAAAAGCCUCUAAGCAUCAGGUAACAUCAAAUCGUACCCCAAACCGACACAGGUGGUCAGGUAGAGAAUACCAAGGCGCUUGAGAGAACUCGGGUGAAGGAACUAGGCAAAAUGGUGCCGUAACUUCGGGAGAAGGCACGCUGAUAUGUAGGUGAAGCGACUUGCUCGUGGAGCUGAAAUCAGUCGAAGAUACCAGCUGGCUGCAACUGUUUAUUAAAAACACAGCACUGUGCAAACACGAAAGUGGACGUAUACGGUGUGACGCCUGCCCGGUGCCGGAAGGUUAAUUGAUGGGGUUAGCGGUAACGCGAAGCUCUUGAUCGAAGCCCCGGUAAACGGCGGCCGUAACUAUAACGGUCCUAAGGUAGCGAAAUUCCUUGUCGGGUAAGUUCCGACCUGCACGAAUGGCGUAAUGAUGGCCAGGCUGUCUCCACCCGAGACUCAGUGAAAUUGAACUCGCUGUGAAGAUGCAGUGUACCCGCGGCAAGACGGAAAGACCCCGUGAACCUUUACUAUAGCUUGACACUGAACAUUGAGCCUUGAUGUGUAGGAUAGGUGGGAGGCUUUGAAGUGUGGACGCCAGUCUGCAUGGAGCCGACCUUGAAAUACCACCCUUUAAUGUUUGAUGUUCUAACGUUGGCCCCUAAUCGGGGUUGCGGACAGUGUCUGGUGGGUAGUUUGACUGGGGCGGUCUCCUCCUAAAGAGUAACGGAGGAGCACGAAGGUUGGCUAAUCCUGGUCGGACAUCAGGAGGUUAGUGCAAUGGCAUAAGCCAGCUUGACUGCGAGCGUGACGGCGCGAGCAGGUGCGAAAGCAGGUCAUAGUGAUCCGGUGGUUCUGAAUGGAAGGGCCAUCGCUCAACGGAUAAAAGGUACUCCGGGGAUAACAGGCUGAUACCGCCCAAGAGUUCAUAUCGACGGCGGUGUUUGGCACCUCGAUGUCGGCUCAUCACAUCCUGGGGCUGAAGUAGGUCCCAAGGGUAUGGCUGUUCGCCAUUUAAAGUGGUACGCGAGCUGGGUUUAGAACGUCGUGAGACAGUUCGGUCCCUAUCUGCCGUGGGCGCUGGAGAACUGAGGGGGGCUGCUCCUAGUACGAGAGGACCGGAGUGGACGCAUCACUGGUGUUCGGGUUGUCAUGCCAAUGGCACUGCCCGGUAGCUAAAUGCGGAAGAGAUAAGUGCUGAAAGCAUCUAAGCACGAAACUUGCCCCGAGAUGAGUUCUCCCUGACUCCUUGAGAGUCCUGAAGGAACGUUGAAGACGACGACGUUGAUAGGCCGGGUGUGUAAGCGCAGCGAUGCGUUGAGCUAACCGGUACUAAUGAACCGUGAGGCUUAACCUUACAACGCCGAAG